GUCGAGAAUCUUCCGCAAUGCGCGAAAGCGUGACGGAGCGACACCGCGUGAUGGAUGAAGUCCUUCGGGGCGUAAACAUCUUUUAUAAAGGAGGAAAUUUUUAACGUUACUUUAUGAAUAAGGGGCUCCCAAUCUCGUGCCAGCAGGAGCGGUAAUACGAGAGCCUCAAGCGUUAUCCGGAAUCAUUGGGCGUAAAGGGUGCGUAGGUGGUUUGAUUAGUCUCCCGUUAAAACUUCGAGCUUAACUCGAAAAGAGCGGGGGAAACGGUCAAACUAGAGUAUGUGAGAGGUGUGUGGAACUCAUGGUGUAGGGGUGAAAUCCGUUGAUAUCAUGGGGAACACCAAAAGCGAAGGCAGCACACUGGCACAUCACUGACACUGAGGCACGAAACCUAAGGUAGCGAAUGGGAUUAGAUACCCCGGUAGUCC
rnacentral:rRNA from 1 species